AGGGGAUUUUGGGGUGGUUAUGUAAAAGACUACCUGGAAGCAACCGAACCAUAUUUUGCAGUAGGCGAGUAUUGGGAUUCUCUCAGUUACACAUACGGUGAAAUGGACCAUAAUCAAGAUGCUCACAGGCAGAGAAUUAUUGAUUGGAUAAAUGCUACAAAUGGUUGUGCUGGCGCAUUUGAUGUCACUACUAAAGGAAUCCUCCACACAGCUUUGGAAAAAUGUGAGUACUGGCGCCUAUCU
rnacentral:misc_RNA from 1 species